rnacentral:sRNA from 1 species
GAACUUGCGGGAGCUUGCUCCCUAAAAUUAGCGGCGGACGGGUGGGUGACAUGUGGGCAACCUGCCUGUAAGACUGGGAUAACUUCGGGAAACCGGAGCUAAUACCGCAUAGUUUCUUUUCUCGCAUGAGGGUAGAUGGAAAGAUGGUUCUGCUAUCACUUACAGAUGGACCCGCGGCCCAUUAGCUAGUUGGUGAGGUAAUUGCUCUCCAAGGCUGGGAAAAGUAGCAGUCUUGAGAGGGUGAUCGGCCACACCGGGAUUUUUUCCGGCCCAGGAUAUACGGGAGGCCUUACUCUAUCUAGCGUUAAACUC